rnacentral:rRNA from 1 species
AGUGAACGCUGGCGGUAGGCCUAACACAUGCCAGUCGAACGGCAGCACAGUAAGGGCUUGCUCUUACGGGUGGCGAGUGGCGGACGGGUGAGGAAUACAUCGGAAUCUACUUUUUCGUGGGGGAUAACGUAGGGAAACUUACGCUAAUACCGCAUACGACCUACGGGUGGAAGCAGGGGAUCUUCGGACCUUGCGCGAUUGAAUGAGCCGAUGUCGGAUUAGCUAGUUGGCGGGGUAAAGGCCCACCAAGGCGACGAUCCGUAGCUGGUCUGAGAGGAUGAUCAGCCACACUGGAAAUGAGACACGGUCCAGACUCCUACGGGAGGCAGCAGUGGGGAAUAUUGGACAAUGGGCGCAAGCCUGAUCCAGCCAUACCGCGUGGGUGAAGAAGGCCUUCGGGUUGUAAAGCCCUUUUGUUGGGAAAGAAAAGCAGCAGGUUAAUACCCCGCUGUUCUGACGGUACCCAAAGAAUAAGCACCGGCUAACUUCGUG